GGGCCGGUAGUCUAGUGGUUAUGACGCUGCCCUUACAAGGCAGAGGUCGGGAGUUCGAAACAACCCAGCUUUU
rnacentral:tRNA from 1 species